rnacentral:sRNA from 1 species
GUAUCCCACGCGUACACGCCGGUUGCUCCGCACCUUCCGCGCCCCGCCGACGAAUGAUCGCUACGCUUUGUUCGCC